rnacentral:rRNA from 1 species
UAAGGAAUAUUGGUCAAUGGACGCAAGUCUGAACCAGCCAUGCCGCGUGAAGGAUGAAGGUCCUACGGAUUGUAAACUGCUUUUGUACGGGAAAAAACCUCAGGUUUCUACCUGAGUUGAUGGUACCGUAAGAAUAAGGAUCGGCUAACUCCGUGCCAGCAGCCGCGGUAAUACGGAGGAUCCAAGCGUUAUCCGGAUUCACUGGGUUUAAAGGGUGCGUAGGUGGAAUGACAAGUCAGUGGUGAAAUCUUGCAGCUUAACUGUAAAACUGCCAUUGAUACUGUUAUUCUUGAGUACAUUUGAUGUGAGCGGAAUGUGUCGUGUAGCGGUGAAAUGCUUAGAUAUGACACAGAACACCAAUUGCGAAGGCAGCUCACAAAACUGUAACUGACACUGAGGCACGAAAGCGUGGGGAUCAAACAGGAUUAGAUACCCCCGUAGUCC